AUUGAACGCUAGCGGGAUGCUUUACACAUGCAAGUCGAACGGCAGCGCGGACUUCGGUCUGGCGGCGAGUGGCGAACGGGUGAGUAAUGUAUCGGAACGUGCCCAGUAGCGGGGGAUAACUACGCGAAAGCGUAGCUAAUACCGCAUACGCCCUACGGGGGAAAGCAGGGGAUCGUAAGACCUUGCACUAUUGGAGCGGCCGAUAUCGGAUUAGCUAGUUGGUGAGGUAACGGCUUACCAAGGCGACGAUCCGUAGCUGGUUUGAGAGGACGACCAGCCACACUGGGACUGAGACACGGCCCAGACUCCUACGGGAGGCAGCAGUGGGGAAUUUUGGACAAAGGGGGCAACCCUGAUCCAGCCAUCCCGCGUGUGCGAUGAAGGCCUUCGGGUUGUAAAGCACUUUUGGCAGGAAAGAAACGUCGCGGGCUAAUACCCCGUGGAACUGACGGUACCUGCAGAAUAAGCACCGGCUAACUACGUG
rnacentral:rRNA from 1 species